rnacentral:rRNA from 1 species
GAUGAACGCUGGCGGCGUGCCUAAUACAUGCAAGUAGAACGCUGAAGGAAGGAGCUUGCUCUUUCCGGAUGAGUUGCGAACGGGUGAGUAACGCGUAGGUAACCUGCCUGGUAGCGGGGGAUAACUAUUGGAAACGAUAGCUAAUACCGCAUAACAGUAGAUGUUGCAUGAUAUCUACUUAAAAGGUGCAAUUGCACCACUACCAGAUGGACCUUCGUUGUAUUAGCUAGUUGGUGAGGUAACGGCGCACCAAGGCGACGAUACAUAGCCCACCUGAGAGGGUGAUCGGCCACACUGGGACGGAGACACGGCCCAGACUCCUACGGGAGGCAGCAGUAGGGAUUCGUCGGCAAGGGACGGAAGUCUGACCGAGCAACGCCGCGUGAGUGAAGAAGGUUUUCGGAUCGUAAAGCUCUGUUGUAAGGGAAGAACGCGUGUGAGAGUGGAAAGUUCACACUGUGACGGUAUCUUACCAGAAAGGGACGGCUAACUACGUG